AUUGAACGCUGGCGGCAUGCCUUACACAUGCAAGUCGAACGGCAGCACGGGAGCAAUCCUGGUGGCGAGUGGCGAACGGGUGAGUAAUAUAUCGGAACGUGCCCAGUCGUGGGGGAUAACGCAGCGAAAGCUGUGCUAAUACCGCAUACGAUCUAUGGAUGAAAGCGGGGGAUCGCAAGACCUCGCGCGAUUGGAGCGGCCGAUAUCAGAUUAGCUAGUUGGGUGGGUAAAGGCCCACCAAGGCGACGAUCUGUAGCUGGUCUGAGAGGACGACCAGCCACACUGGAACUGAGACACGGUCCAGACUCCUACGGGAGGCAGCAGUGGGGAAUUUUGGACAAGGGGCGCAAGCCUGAUCCAGCAAUGCCGCGUGCAGGAUGAAGGCCUUCGGGUUGUAAACUGCUUUUGUACGGAGCGAAACGGUCUGCCCUAAUACGGUGGGCUAAUGACGGUACCGUAAGAAUAAGCACCGGCUAACUACGUGCCAGCCGCCGCUGUAA
rnacentral:rRNA from 1 species